UAAAUGAUGGAAAUAGUACUUCUUGUGUUAAAUUUGCCGAUCGAGGCGUACCAUUCGGGAUACGAGAUUUCAAUUUACUUCGAUAUACUUAUAUGGGCGUGAAACAAUUGCAAGCACCGUUGUAUCGCGGAAAUUUCACGAAAGAAAAGUUUUCAGAAUAAAGUUUUUUUAUUCAACUGUAUCAAGGAAAUGAAGUCAAUAGCGCUCAUCUUUGCAGUCGUUCUUACUCUCUCGAUCAUACAAUUUACAGAUACCAAAGGAUGCUCAAGCGGAUGCUCUGGUCUUCGAGCCGAUAACAAAAAGGUUAUUUGUUCGUGUGGUACUCAAUUCGAUAACAGCGCUGAUGAAACUAAGAAAUGUGGAGAAAAGUUGAAUGUGGCUUGCUUCAUUUCCCAGAACAGACGAAAGUGUAAGGUAGACGAAAAGCAGAAACAAUUCGAAGAUUGUUGUGAUGAGCAACGGGAACAAUCUUAUUGUGAAUAAUUAAAAAUGGCGAAUGUGACGAACUUUGACGGACUAUGUAUUUAAUGGACCACAUUUUAUAUUCAGAUUUCGACUGUAUUUUGGGUUGGAUUGAUGGAUUAAAUUGUCGCAAAAA